UGGGAAAUAUUGCACAAUGGGCGCAAGCCUGAUGCAGCCAUGCCGCGUGUAUGAAGAAGGCCUUCGGGUUGUAAAGUACUUUCAGCGGGGAGGAAGGGAGUAAAGUUAAUACCUUUGCUCAUUGACGUUACCCGCAGAAGAAGCACCGGCUAACUCCGUGCCAGCAGCCGCGGUAAUACGGAGGGUGCAAGCGUUAAUCGGAAUUACUGGGCGUAAAGCGCACGCAGGCGGUUGAUUGAGUCAGAUGUGAAAUCCCCGGGCUUAACCCGGGAAUUGCAUCUGAUACUGGUCAGCUAGAGUCUUGUAGAGAGGGGUAGAAUUCCAUGUGUAGCGGUGAAAUGCGUAGAGAUGUGGAGGAAUACCGGUGGCGAAGGCGGCCCCCUGGACAAAGACUGACGCUCAGGUGCGAAAGCGUGGGGAGCAAACAGG
rnacentral:rRNA from 1 species